rnacentral:rRNA from 1 species
UACGUAGGGUGCAAGCGUUAAUCGGAGUUACUGGGCGUAAAGCGUGCGCAGGCGGCUAUGCAAGACAGAUGUGAAAUCCCCGGGCUCAACCUGGGAACUGCAUUUGUGACUGCAUGGCUAGAGUACGGUAGAGGGGGAUGGAAUUCCGCGUGUAGCAGUGAAAUGCGUAGAUAUGCGGAGGAACACCGAUGGCGAAGGCAAUCCCCUGGACCUGCACUGACGCUCAUGCACGAAAGCGUGGGGAGCAAACAGG